rnacentral:rRNA from 1 species
CCUAGCGGCGGACGGGUGAGUAAUGCUUAGGAAUCUGCCUAUUAGUGGGGGACAACAUCUCGAAAGGGAUGCUAAUACCGCAUACGUCCUACGGGAGAAAGCAGGGGAUCUUCGGACCUUGCGCUAAUAGAUGAGCCUAAGUCGGAUUAGCUAGUUGGUGGGGUAAAGGCCUACCAAGGCGACGAUCUGUAGCGGGUCUGAGAGGAUGAUCCGCCACACUGGGACUGAGACACGGCCCAGACUCCUACGGGAGGCAGCAGUGGGGAAUAUUGGACAAUGGGGGGAACCCUGAUCCAGCCAUGCCGCGUGUGUGAAGAAGGCCUUAUGGUUGUAAAGCACUUUAAGCGAGGAGGAGGCUACUUUAGUUAAUACCUAGAGAUAGUGGACGUUACUCGCAGAAUAAGCACCGGCUAACUCUGUGCCAGCAGCCGCGGUAAUACAGAGGGUGCGAGCGUUAAUCGGAUUUACUGGGCGUAAAGCGUGCGUAGGCGGCUUAUUAAGUCGGAUGUGAAAUCCCCGAGCUUAACUUGGGAAUUGCAUUCGAUACUGGUGAGCUAGAGUAUGGGAGAGGAUGGUAGAAUUCCAGGUGUAGCGGUGAAAUGCGUAGAGAUCUGGAGGAAUACCGAUGGCGAAGGCAGCCAUCUGGCCUAAUACUGACGCUGAGGUACGAAAGCAUGGGGAGCAAACAGGAUUAGAUACCCUGGUAGUCCAUGCCGUAAACGAUGUCUACUAGCCGUUGGGGCCUUUGAGGCUUUAGUGGCGCAGCUAACGCGAUAAGUAGACCGCCUGGGGAGUACGGUCGCAAGACUAAAAC